GACGAACGCUGGCGGCGUGCUUAACACAUGCAAGUCGAACGGAAAGGCCUCUUUCGGGGGGUACUCGAGUGGCGAACGGGUGAGUAACACGUGAGUAACCUGCCCUUGACUUUGGGAUAACUUCAGGAAACUGGGGCUAAUACCGGAUAGGAGCUCCUGCUGCAUGGUGGGGGUUGGAAAGUUUCGGCGGUUGGGGAUGGACUCGCGGCUUAUCAGCUUGUUGGUGGGGUAGUGGCUUACCAAGGCUUUGACGGGUAGCCGGCCUGGGAGGGUGACCGGCCACAUUGGGACUGAGAUACGGCCCAGACUCCUACGGGGGGCAGCAGUGGGGAAUAUUGCACAAUGGGUGGAAGCCUGAUGCAGCAACGCCGGGUGCGGGAUGACGGCCUUCGGGUUGUAAACCGCUUUCGCUCAUGACGAAGCUUUGUGUGACGGUAGUGGGUAAAGAAGCACCGGCUAACUACGUG
rnacentral:rRNA from 1 species